rnacentral:lncRNA from 10 species
UUGAAGAGGAAAACUCCUGGUGCCAAAAAGUCCACCGAUCCUUGGUUCAGACAAGGACUUCCAAUUGCUUAAUGUCAGAUGAAUACUGAAAGGUCACCAGAGGAUACACCACGGAACACAGGGACACCAUGACUAUUGAAGUGUUGAAGAUUCCAGAUGAAACGUUUUUUAAAAUCAUUAUUCACAGUAGCAAAAGGUGGAGACGACUCAGGUGUCCUUUGAUGGAUGCAUGGAUAAACUCAAUGUGGUGGAUUCGUAUACAGAGGAAUAUUAUUCAGCCUUCAAAAGAAGGGAAUUCAGACACAUGCUACAAUGUGGAUGGACAUUGAAGACAUUACGCUAAGUGAAAGAAGCCAGACAUCAAAAGGACAAAUAUUUUGUGAUUCCACUUAUACGAGGUAUAUGAGUAAUCAAAUUCACGGAGACAGAGAGUAGGAAGGUGGUUGUCAGGGGCUAGGGGCAGUGGGGAUGGCAGUUAUUGUUUAAUGGGUACAGAGUUUCAAUUUAGAAACAUGGAAAGUUCUGGAGGUGGAUGGUGAUGAUGGUUGCACAACAGUGUCAAUGUACAUAAUGCCAUUCAACUGUGCACUUAGAAAUGGCUAAAAAGGUAAAUUUUAUAUUAUGUAGUUUAUGUAUUAUGUAUUUUAGAACAAUUUUUUAAAAGGCUUUUAAAAACGUCCUCUAUUGCAAAUUGUCUGUUCUUGUUCCAUGUGAAUGAAUUCUGAAUAAAAUAUGAACUAUUUUUCUUUCAUAUUUACUUAGAAUAUAUCUCUGAAUUUGUAAUUUAUUUCCUUUGUUGUUUGGAAAAUGCGGUUUUUUUGGACUUAAACAUUUAUCAUAAUUAUGUAAUUGUUUAAAAUGUUCCUGUGGGAUUUCUCCCACAACGUUUAAGCUUCUGAAGUGGCCUACCCCUCUCCGUGUUUUAAUUUUUUUAAGCCUUUUACAUGGUUUUAAAUUUUUAAAUGUUUACUUUUUGUAGCAACAGGAUCUCACUACAUUACCCAGGCUGGUCUCAAACUCCUGGACCUCAGACUCCCAAAGUGCUGGGAUUACAGGCAUGAGCCACUGCACCCGGCCUCGAUUUACUUUUUUAACAUUGAAUUCCUUAAUGCAUCUAUUGUCA